CCUACGGGGGGCAGCAGUGAGGAAUAUUGGUCAAUGGACGAGAGUCUGAACCAGCCAAGUAGCGUGAAGGAUGACUGCCCUAUGGGUUGUAAACUUCUUUUAUAUGGGAAUAAAACGUUCCACGUGUGGGAUUUUGUAUGUACCAUAUGAAUACGGAUCGGCUAACUCCGUGCCAGCAGCCGCGGUAAUACGGAGGAUCCGAGCGUUAUCCGGAUUUAUUGGGUUUAAAGGGAGCGUAGGUGGAUUGUUAAGUCAGUUGUGAAAGUUUGCGGCUCAACCGUAAAAUUGCAGUUGAAACUGGCAGUCUUGAGUACAGUAGAGGUGGGCGGAAUUCGUGGUGUAGCGGUGAAAUGCUUAGAUAUCACGAAGAACUCCGAUUGCGAAGGCAGUUCACUGGACUGCAACUGACACUGAGGCUCGAAAGUGUGGGUAUCAAACAGGAUUAGAUACCCGUGUAGUC
rnacentral:rRNA from 1 species